rnacentral:rRNA from 1 species
AUUGAACGCUGGCGGCAGGCCUAACACAUGCAAGUCGAGCGAGCGGCGGACGGGUGAGUACUGUCUGGGAAACUGUCUGAUGGAGGGGGAUAACUACUGGAAACGGUAGCUAAUACCGCAUACCAUCAGAUGUGCCCAGAUGGGAUUAGCUAGUGGGUGGGGUAACGGCUCACCUCGGCGACGCUCCCUAGCUGGGCUGAGAGGAUGACAAGCCACACUGGAACUGAGACACGGUCCAGAAUCCUACGGGAGGCAGCAGUGGGGAAUAGUGCACAAUGGGAGCAAGCCUGAUGCAGCCAUGCCGCGUGUAUGAAGAAGGCCUUCGGGUUGUAAAGCACUUUCAGCGGGGAGGCGUUACCCGCAGAAGAAGCACCGGCUAACUCCGUGCCAGCAGCCGCGGUAAUUC